rnacentral:rRNA from 1 species
GAUGAACGCUGGCGGCGUGCCUAAUACAUGCAAGUCGAGCGAACAGACGAGGAGCUUGCUCCUCUGACGUUAGCGGCGGACGGGUGAGUAACACGUGGAUAACCUACCUAUAAGACUGGGGUAACUUCGGGAAACCGGAGCUAAUACCGGAUAAUAUAUUGAACCGCAUGGUUCAAUAGUGAAAGACGGUUUUGCUGUCACUUAUAGAUGGAUCCGCGCCGCAUUAGCUAGUUGGUAAGGUAACGGCUUACCAAGGCAACGAUGCGUAGCCGACCUGAGAGGGUGAUCGGCCACACUGGAACUGAGACACGGUCCAGACUCCUACGGGAGGCAGCAGUAGGGAAUCUUCCGCAAUGGGCGAAAGCCUGACGGAGCAACGCCGCGUGAGUGAUGAAGGUCUUCGGAUCGUAAAACUCUGUUAUUGGGGAAGAACAAAUGUGUAAGUAACUAUGCACGUCUUGACGGUACCUAAUCAGAAAGCCACGGCUAACUACGUG